AGAAUCAACGCUGGCGGCGUGCCUAACACAUGCAAGUCGAACGAGAAAGUGGAGCAAUCCAUGAGUAAAGUGGCGACCGGGUGAGUAACACGUGACUAACCUACCUUCGAGUGGGGGAUAACCUCGGGAAACCGAGGCUAAUACCGCAUAACAUCGUGAGAUCAAAGCAGUAAUGCGCUGGAAGAGGGGGUCGCGGCUGAUUAGCUAGUUGGCGGGGUAAUGGCCCACCAAGGCGAAGAUCGGUA
rnacentral:rRNA from 1 species